rnacentral:rRNA from 1 species
CAUGGCUCAGAUUGAACGCUGGCGGCAGGCUUAACACAUGCAAGUCGAGCGGGGGAAGGGUAGCUUGCUACCGGACCUAGCGGCGGACGGGUGAGUAAUGCUUAGGAAUCUGCCUAUUAGUGGGGGACAACAUCUCGAAAGGGAUGCUAAUACCGCAUACGUCCUACGGGAGAAAGCAGGGGAUCUUCGGACCUUGCGCUAAUAGAUGAGCCUAAGUCGGAUUAGCUAGUUGGUGGGGUAAAGGCCUACCAAGGCGACGAUCUGUAGCGGGUCUGAGAGGAUGAUCCGCCACACUGGGACUGAGACACGGCCCAGACUCCUACGGGAGGCAGCAGUGGGGAAUAUUGGACAAUGGGGGGAACCCUGAUCCAGCCAUGCCGCGUGUGUGAAGAAGGCCUUAUGGUUGUAAAGCACUUUAAGCGAGGAGGAGGCUACUCUAGUUAAUACCUAGGGAUAGUGGACGUUACUCGCAGAAUAAGCACCGGCUAACUCUGUGCCAGCAGCCGCGGUAAUACAGAGGGUGCGAGCGUUAAUCGGAUUUACUGGGCGUAAAGCGUGCGUAGGCGGCUUAUUAAGUCGGAUGUGAAAUCCCCGAGCUUAACUUGGGAAUUGCAUUCGAUACUGGUGAGCUAGAGUAUGGGAGAGGAUGGUAGAAUUCCAGGUGUAGCGGUGAAAUGCGUAGAGAUCUGGAGGAAUACCGAUGGCGAAGGCAGCCAUCUGGCCUAAUACUGACGCUGAGGUACGAAAGCAUGGGGAGCAAACAGGAUUAGAUACCCUGGUAGUCCAUGCCGUAAACGAUGUCUACUAGCCGUUGGGGCCUUUGAGGCUUUAGUGGCGCAGCUAACGCGA